rnacentral:lncRNA from 1 species
GUUUCUGGUAAUCUGGACGUUAAUUCUAAAGGCGUGACGGACAAAAAGAAGUAUCUGCAAAAGUAACAGGAGGGCUGGCGGAGUAAAAGUCAGGGACCGCUGGAAGCUGCUGCCACUACCACGGUUUCUACCAUUAGAACUGCCACUCCCACCCCCACAGCUGGUGACCAGGCGCUGGGAUGCCCAGUCUAGCCAGCGCCGUGUCUCUUAACUUUGCUCUGGCAGACGCUGCUGGCGGAAAUUCGGCCUGGGCCACCUCACCUUCUCUUCCAGCCUCACCCUCCUCCUGCUCCGGGAUAUUUCUGGCACUAAGAGCUGACUGCUGCCUCCCCUGCUCACAGCCCCGCCAUGGCUCCCAAGCACCCUCAGGGGAGACAAACUGCUCGGAAUGGUGUUGGAGCUCAGAGACCCAGGAAAGGGAGAGAGAGGUCACGUGAAUGAACGCGUGUGGCUCAGUCCCCAUGGCCAUGAACUUUCAGGAAAAUGUAACCCUGGCCAUGGCCGUAUUCACCAUCCUCGCCUCCAUCUACUUCUUCAACAAGGCUCAGCAAUGAGAAGACACAGGAUUCCCCAAUCCCAGAGCCCGGCCUUCGCCCCGGACCGUGACUCCGGCCUCUGAGACCAAAUAAAUGUGACCGAUCAGCACACCGUGCUCCAUCCCACUGCCCCACCCGUCACAGCCUCGCCGGCUCUGCUUCAGGGCCAGGCCCCUGGCUUCUGAAGAGGAUGACGGGAACUCUUGCGUUUUCCGGGGAAGGCGUCGCGAAC